UGUUAUCAUUCAGUGAGCUAAGGGAAUUUUAACACCAGAGAAGCUGUGUGGAGAGCUGUGUCUCAGCCUGAAGGAUGGCGACCUUUCCAUCAGGUGACCGUAGCUUUCUGACCCACCCUGAGACGCUCCUCUGCCCCUUCCGCAGUCGGGUGAAGGCUUUUUCCCUUACACCAGCCGUGAGCGGGUCACACCCUCCUGACACGCACUGGCUUUGACCGUGCGACGGGCUGGGUGUGUCUGGAGUAGCUUCACUGACCGGGGAGGGCAGGAAUGACCCGUCGCUGCUUGCAGAGCUGGGAGUGGGUGGUAGUCAUUGUUUCGUGGCAGGUUCAGCCGUUUCCCGCGUGUUAGCAUCUGCCUUGCAACUCCCUGGAAACCAAGUGCUUUGUUGCUUUACUUAACUCCUUCUGACCUUUUGCAGUUCUGUGUUUUCUCCAAGAGGUGGCCAUCAUAGUUCUAAACUGGUUUAAAAGCCGCAGAUGUGAGCAGGCCCUGGUCACUCUGAAUGGCUGUUGCUUCAUCCUAAGGAUGAGUCCUUCAGGAUUCCCAGGGAUCAGAUAUCCGGCACGCUCCUGACACCCUGGGGAUCAGAUGUGGUGAGGGGAAGGUGGCUCGGCAGGGUGGCUUGCCUGCGACCCAGAGGGCACCCGCCCGCCCAGAUGAAGCCAGGAGACUGAUGUUUAUCGAGCCCCUACUCUGUAGCACGUUCUGGGCUUUAUCCUCCUGAGAGCCUGGGAGGUGGCCGUUAAGGCCCCAUUUUACAGAUGAGGACGCUGAGGCUCAGAGAUGUGAAACACUCUGUGAGUGAGAGAUGUGAGUGCCUCGGGGCGGUUGCGCUCCAGGCCGCCCACCAGCUGAGCUCCUCAUCUUCCUGGGAAAGGGAGCCGAACUCAAACACCAGCCACUGGUUUCUGCCCUAUGGAUGGAGGGGGCUUGCCGGUUUACCUGCUGUUAAGCUCCCAGAGGCCGUGAGCGUGAAGAUUGCAGAUCCUGGGAAAUCCCCAAGUCCGGAGCAGGCAGGGCUGUGCCCGGCACUCUUUCCCGUCUGCUUCUGUCUGCUCUGGGGUCAGACCUGGGGACCGGCGGUCGGCGUGCUUAUCGGUAUUGCCUUGGCCGCUGGGUCCGGAUGGAGCCGUCCCUGUAAGCUUUGUUCAUUACUAAACGUCCAGCCCGACUUUAAAAUUAGUGCAGAAGGUUCCGGACUUUCAUUUUGA
rnacentral:lncRNA from 1 species